rnacentral:rRNA from 1 species
UUGCACCUCUGGCGUCGAGCGGCGGACGGGUGAGUAAUGCUUGGGAAUAUGCCUUAUGGUGGGGGACAACAGUUGGAAACGACUGCUAAUACCGCAUGAUGUCUACGGACCAAAGUGGGGGACCUUCGGGCCUCACGCCAUAAGAUUAGCCCAAGUGGGAUUAGCUAGUUGGUGAGGUAAUGGCUCACCAAGGCGACGAUCCCUAGCUGGUUUGAGAGGAUGAUCAGCCACACUGGGACUGAGACACGGCCCAGACUCCUACGGGAGGCAGCAGUGGGGAAUAUUGCACAAUGGGCGCAAGCCUGAUGCAGCCAUGCCGCGUGUGUGAAGAAGGCCUUCGGGUUGUAAAGCACUUUCAGUAAGGAGGAAAGGUUAAGUGUUAAUAGCACUUAGCUGUGACGUUACUUACAGAAGAAGCACCGGCUAACUCCGUGCCAGCAGCCGCGGUAAUACGGAGGGUGCGAGCGUUAAUCGGAAUUACUGGGCGUAAAGCGUACGCAGGCGGUUUGUUAAGCGAGAUGUGAAAGCCCCGGGCUCAACCUGGGAACUGCAUUUCGAACUGGCAAACUAGAGUGUGAUAGAGGGUGG